ncrna:unclassified sequences abiF RNA
CCAGUCAAGCCUCUCUACGAUGCUCAAACCGACUGGC